rnacentral:rRNA from 1 species
UCGAAGCGGUAGCACAGGGGAUCGUUGUCUCCCCGGGUGACGAGCGGCGGACGGGUGAGUAAUGUCUGGGAAACUGCCUGAUGGGAGGGGGAUAACUACUGGAAACGGUAGCUAAUACCGCAUAACGUCGCAAGACCAAAGAGGGGGACCUUCGGGCCUCUUGCCAUCACAUGUGCCCAGAUGGGAUUAGCUAGUAGGUGGGGUAAUGGCUCACCUACGCCACGAUCCCUAUCUGGUCUGAGAGGAUGACCAGCCACACUGGAACUGAGACACGGACCAGACUCCUACGGGAGGCAGCAGA